rnacentral:rRNA from 1 species
UAUAGAAUACUCAAGCUAUGCAUCCCAACGCGUUGGGAGCUCUCCCAUAUGGUCGACCUGCAGGCGGCCCGCGAAUUCACUAGUGAUUUAGAGUUUGAUCCUGGCUCAGGACGAACGCUGGCGGCGUGCUUAACACAUGCAAGUCGAACGAUGAAGCUGGAGCUUGCUCCGGUGGAUUAGUGGCGAACGGGUGAGUAACACGUGAGCAAUCUGCCCUUGACUCUGGGAUAACUGCGGGAAACUGUAGCUAAUACCGGAUACUUUCCUCGGUGGGCAUCCACUGGGGAAGAAAGAAUUUCGGUCAAGGAUGAGCUCGCGACCUAUCAGCUAGUUGGUGAGGUAAUGGCUCACCAAGGCGACGACGGGUAGCCGGCCUGAGAGGGUGACCGGCCACACUGGGACUGAGACACGGCCCAGACUCCUACGGGAGGCAGCAGUGGGGAAUAUUGCACAAUGGGCGCAAGCCUGAUGCAGCAACGCCGCGUGAGGGACGAAGGCCUUCGGGUUGUAAACCUCUUUUAGCAGGGAAGAAGCGAAAGUGACGGUACCUGCAGAAAAAGCACCGGCUAACUACGUGCCAGCAGCCGCGGUAAUACGUAGGGUGCAAGCGUUGUCCGGAAUUAUUGGGCGUAAAGAGCUCGUAGGCGGUUUGUCACGUCUGCUGUGAAAUUUCGAGGCUCAACCUCGAACUUGCAGUGGGUACGGGCAGGCUAGAGUGCGGUAGGGGAGAUGGGAAUUCCUGGUGUAGCGGUGGAAUGCGCAGAUAUCAGGAGGAACACCAAUGGCGAAGGCACAUCUCUGGGCCGUAACUGACGCUGAGGAGCGAAAGCAUGGGGAGCAAACAGGAUUAGAUACCCUGGUAGUCCAUGCCGUAAACGGUGGGUGAUAGCUGUGGGCCACAUUCCACGUGGUCCGUGACGAAGUUAACACAUUAAGCACC